GGGCCCGUAGCGCAGUCAGGAAGCGCGGCGGCCACGCCAGCCGCAGGUCCCGGGUUCGAAUCCCGGCGGGCCCGCCA
rnacentral:tRNA from 2 species